GUGGAUAUAUAGAUGUAAAUAUAUAUGAGUAAAUGUAUAUAUAUAUGAGUGUGUAUAUAUAUGUGUUUAUACAUAUAUCGGCAUAGAUAUAUGAGUGAAGACAAUUUCUGAAAUAAAGAUGAAUACAAAGUAUUAUUUCUAUGACUCAGAUAUUUUUCAAUACCGUUUUAAUAUAUUAUGUUUAGUCUUUUUGUCUAUGUAUUUCUGUUUCUGUUUGUGUGUCUGGUGGUAUGGGUAUGUAAUUGAAAUUUACAUAGUAUUUAUAUAGUUUCAUAUUUUUGUUUAAUUUCUAUUUCAUGCUAUAUCCUAAGCAUAUUUAUAUCAUUAAAACUGCUUCAAAACAGGA
rnacentral:lncRNA from 1 species